GACGAACGCUGGCGGCGUGCUUAACACAUGCAAGUCGAACGGAAAGGCCCUGCUUUUGUGGGGUGCUCGAGUGGCGAACGGGUGAGUAACACGUGAGUAACCUGCCCUUGACUUUGGGAUAACUUCAGGAAACUGGGGCUAAUACCGGCUAGGAGCUCCUGCUGCAUGGUGGGGGUUGGAAAGUUUCGGCGGUUGGGGAUGGACUCGCGGCUUAUCAGCUUGUUGGUGGGGUAGUGGCUUACCAAGGCUUUGACGGGUAGCCGGCCUGGGAGGGUGACCGGCCACAUUGGGACUGAGGUACGGCCCAGACUCCUACGGGAGGCAGCAGUGGGGAAUAUUGCACAAUGGGCGGAAGCCUGAUGCAGAAACGCCGCGUGCGGGAUGACGGCCUUCGGGUUGUAAACCGCUUUCGCCUGUGACGAAGCGUGAGUGACGGUAAUGGGUAAAGAAGCACCGGCUAACUACGUG
rnacentral:rRNA from 1 species